rfam:Nitrospina sp. SCGC_AAA799_A02 AAA799A02_44, whole genome shotgun sequence.
GCGCCCAUAGCUCAGCUGGAUAGAGCGAUGGUUUGCGGAACCAUAGGUCGGAGGUUCGAGUCCUCUUGGGCGCG